rnacentral:rRNA from 1 species
UACAGAGGGGGCAAGCGUUGUUCGGAAUUACUGGGCGUAAGGGGCGCGUAGGCGGCCUUCUAAGUCGAACGUGAAAUCCCCGGGCUCAACCCGGGAACUGCGUCCGAUACUGGAAGGCUUGAAUCCGGGAGAGGGAUGCGGAAUUCCAGGUGUAGCGGUGAAAUGCGUAGAUAUUUGGAGGAACACCAGUGGCGAAAGCGACUUCCUGGGACGUUUCUGACGCUGAGGUUCGAAAGCUCGGGGAGCAAACAGG